GAUGAACGCUGGCGGCGUGCCUAAUACAUGCAAGUCGAGCGAACAGAUAAGGAGCUUGCUCCUUUGACGUUAGCGGCGGACGGGUGAGUAACACGUGGGUAACCUACCUAUAAGACUGGGAUAACUUCGGGAAACCGGAGCUAAUACCGGAUAACAUUUGGAACCGCAUGGUUCUAAAGUGAAAGAUGGUUUUGCUAUCACUUAUAGAUGGACCCGCGCCGUAUUAGCUAGUUGGUAAGGUAACGGCUUACCAAGGCGACGAUACGUAGCCGACCUGAGAGGGUGAUCGACCACACUGGAACUGAGACACGGUCCAGACUCCUACGGGAGGCAGCAGUAGGGAAUCUUCCGCAAUGGGCGAAAGCCUGACGGAGCAACGCCGCGUGAGUGAUGAAGGGUUUCGGCUCGUAAAACUCUGUUAUUAGGGAAGAACAAAUGUGUAAGUAACUGUGCACGUCUUGACGGUACCUAAUCAGAAAGCCACGGCUAACUACGUG
rnacentral:rRNA from 1 species